CCACUUAUUUUACUUCAUUUUUUUAGAUCCAGGACGCGACCAAUGGAGUCGUUUCUGUUAGUGUGACCUCUGAGAUCUUUACCCAGGACGCGACCAAUGGAGUCGUCUAUGUUGGUGCGACCCCUGCGAUCUUUAUCCAGGACAGAACCAAUGGAGUCUUUCAUACUGGUUGGACCUCUGCGAUCUUUAUCCAGUAUGAGACCAAUGGAGUCGUUUCUGUUCGUGUGACCUCUGAGAUCUUUAUCCAGGAUGAGACCAACAGAGUCACUGGUGUGACUUUUGCUGUGAUCUCUCUUAGAGAUCCGGCUUCAUCUGCUGCGUCUGGUGGGAGAAGCAGCACACAGGAGUGAUGGUCGCUUCAACCUGAGGAAAACCACGGCAUGGUGGAGGCAGCGUCCAUGGAGACUGGUGGUCCUCGCUGUUGUGGUGCUCCUGCUGCUGUUAAUUAUGUAUGUGUUAAACAUAUGAAUUAAAUAAAGCACAAAUUUUGACAAUA